UCCAGGGUAGUCUAGUGGACAUGGCAUCUGCCCAGUUAGCGGAACACUGUGGGUUCGAUUCCCAUCCCUGGAC
rnacentral:tRNA from 1 species